rnacentral:rRNA from 1 species
UGGGGAAUAUUGGACAAUGGGCGCAAGCCUGAUCCAGCCAUGCCGCGUGAGUGAUGAAGGCCCUAGGGUUGUAAAGCUCUUUCACCGGUGAAGAUAAUGACGGUAACCGGAGAAGAAGCCCCGGCUAACUUCGUGCCAGCAGCCGCGGUGAUACGAAGGGGGCUAGCGUUGUUCGGAUUUACUGGGCGUAAAGCGCACGUAGGCGGACUAUUAAGUCAGGGGUGAAAUCCCGGGGCUCAACCCCGGAACUGCCUUUGAUACUGGUAGUCUUGAGUUCGAGAGAGGUGAGUGGAAUUCCGAGUGUAGAGGUGAAAUUCGUAGAUAUUCGGAGGAACACCAGUGGCGAAGGCGGCUCACUGGCUCGAUACUGACGCUGAGGUGCGAAAGCGUGGGGAGCAAACAGG